AUUGAACGCUGGCGGCAUGCUUUACACAUGCAAGUCGAACGGCAGCGGGGGCUUCGGCCUGCCGGCGAGUGGCGAACGGGUGAGUAAUGCAUCGGAACGUACCCAGUCAUGGGGGAUAACUACGCGAAAGCGUAGCUAAUACCGCAUACGCCCUGAGGGGGAAAGCGGGGGAUCGCAAGACCUCGCGUGAUUGGAGCGGCCGAUGUCGGAUUAGCUAGUUGGUGGGGUAAAGGCCUACCAAGGCGACGAUCCGUAGCGGGUCUGAGAGGAUGAUCCGCCACACUGGGACUGAGACACGGCCCAGACUCCUACGGGAGGCAGCAGUGGGGAAUUUUGGACAAUGGGGGCAACCCUGAUCCAGCCAUGCCGCGUGAGUGAAGAAGGCCU
rnacentral:rRNA from 1 species